rnacentral:misc_RNA from 1 species
GAUGAAGAACGCAGCGAAAUGCGAUAAGUAGUGUGAAUUGCAGAAUUCAGUGAAUCAUCGAAUCUUUGAACGCACAUUGCGCCCUUUGGUAUUCCUUAGGGCAUGCCUGUUCGAGCGUCAUUUAAACCUUCAAGCUAAGCUUGGUGUUGGGUGACUGUCCGCUUCACUGCGGACUCGCCUCAAAACUAUUGGCGGCCGGUACAUUGGCUUCGAGCGCAGCAGAAACGCGAACUCGGGCCCGUCGUAUUGGCUCCCAGAAGCUAUCUUCACAAUUUUGACCUCGGAUCAGGUAGGGAUACCCGCUGAACUUAAGCAUAUCAAUAAGCGGAGGA